CCAAGAACAGCGAGAUCAGGACCUGAGCUGAAGUCGGCUGCUUAACCACCUGAGCCGCCCAGGUUAAGUCUUGAAGGAUGAGUAGGAUGUUGCCAAGAAGAGAAGGAAGGGGGUAGAGAUUAAUUCUAAGCAUGGAGACCAGCAAAAGUAAAGGCUUGGGACAUGAGAAAAUUUGGUGUAUCUGGAUUGUGGUGAGCAUUUCUGUAACUGGUGAUAAAGUCCUUAAGAUUUUGGCAAGGGAUUGAGGAAGAUGGAAAUUUCAAGAAUGAUUCCUAUGCUUCUCACUUCCAGUUGCACAGAUGAUGGUGCCAUUCACCGAAACAGGGAAUAUUGGGAAAGAACUAAGUCUGGCAAGCCAAGAUUAGUGUAUGGUUUUAUAUGCAUUGAUUUUGAGGAGUACAAAAUAUCCAGAUGAAGAUAGGCAGGUGAAUACAUAGGUGUAGACUCCAAAGCACAGAUGAGAAUCUGGAGGUGACUCUUGGUUUCUUUGCUCUAAUCACAUUUUUCAUUCCUCAAUCACUCGAUGAUUUCUGCUCUUAUAAGCCCCUUGUAUUUCUCUUCCUUGGGCUUUCCCUGGUUAAUUCCUACUCAUUCUUCAUAUCUCAAAUGAAACAUCCUCCCACAGGUUGUGCUCAACCACCAGAUCCAGUCACUUCCUCAUAUUACAUAUUUUCAUAGCACCACAAAUUUUCAUAGUAUUUGUCAAAAUUGUAAUUUCACAUUUAUUCACAGAAUUAUUUUCUCUCUCUCUCUGACUAUAAUUUCCAUGAGAACAAGACCUGUGUAUGGCUUUGUUCAUCAUUAUACCCUGUACCUAACAUAAUGCCUAGCACAUGCAAAUGUUCAGGACAUAUUUAAAAGAAUGGUUGAUGUUCAUAUUAAUGGGAAUAAAAACCCAAUGGCCAUUAACACACGAAGAUGUGUCCCUAACUGAAGGCACCAGUAUUUUGUGGAUGAAAGACUCUCAAGAUGCCGCCCAGUUAUCCUGACUCCUGGUAUUCACAUCCUUGUGUAAUUUCCUCCCCUGGAGCAUGGGAGAAGCCCAUGACUUAUUUCUAACCAGAGAAUAUGGCAAAGGGUGAUUACAUUACAUAAGACUGUAGCUGCCGUCUUGCUGGAAAAUCCUAUUUUCUCGUCUUUUGCUUGUUUGGUAAAGUGAGCUUCCCUGAGGAGAGGCACAUGGGGCAAGAAAUUUGAGGGUGGCCUCCUACCAGCAGCCAGCAAGAAAGCAAGAUGCUCAGUCGGAUGAUCCAGAAAGAACUAAAUCCUGCCAACAACCACAUGAAUUUGGAAACGGAAUCUUCCCUGAUAAGACUCCAGUGCUGGCUAACGUCCUUCUGAGGGGCACCAAAGCAGAGCAGCCAGUUAAGCUGUAUCCAUAUUCAUGAUUCACAGAAACUGUGAGAUAAUAAAUAGAUUGCAAAAGAUUCUGAGUUCCAUCUGGCCAGCAGACUUACUUCCUUGAUGGUUUUGAUGAAGCAAGUUGCCAUGUUGGAGAGGCACACGUGGCAGGGAACUGAGGGACAGCCUCUGGCCAGUAGCCAGCUGCAAACUGAAGCCCUCAGUCCAACAACCCAAAAGAAACUGAAUCCUGCCAACAGCCAUGUAAGUCGGCUUAGAAGCGAAUCCUCCCUUAAUUAAACCUUCAGAUAAGUCCCCGGCCCCGGCUUAUGGUUUGAUUGCAGUGAAAAUUUUGAGAGAAUUUAGAGGGACCCAGUUCAACUGUGCCUGAAUGCCUGAUUCUCAGACCCCGUGAGGUAAUUAAAUAUGGUUUCAGUUGCUAAGUUUGUGGUAAUUUGUUACACAGAAAUAGAACUGAUACACCUAUUAUAUUGCCAAAGUUGGAAAAGAUGGACAAACCUCAGUGUUUGCAAGGCUGCAGCGAAACAGACAUUCUCAUGUAGUUUUGGUGAGAGUACAAAAUUUCUGAAGGCAAUUUGGCAAUAUAAAUUUAAGAAAAUUCAGGAGCACCUGGGUAGCUCAGCCAGUUGACCGUCCAACUCUUGAUUUCGGCUCAGGUUAUGAUCUCAGGGUUUGUGAGUUCAAGCCCCGUG